UGGAUUAGGCAUGCAAGUCGAACGGGAAACCCUUCGGGGUUUCUAGUGGCGAAAGGGUGAGUAACACGUGAGCAACCUGCCCCCAAGUCCGGAAUAAGCGGUGGAAACGCCGUCUAAUGCCGGAUGCCGAAUGGCCCCCGCCUGGUGGCUUUUCGAAAGAUUUAUCGCUUGGGGAUGGGCUCGCGCCCCAUUAGCUGGUUGGCGGGGUAAUGGCCCACCAAGGCUACGACGGGUAGGUGGACUGAGAGGUCGGUCACCCACACUGGGACUGAGACACUGCCCAGACUCCUACGGGAGGCUGCAGUCGAGAAUCUUCCGCAAUGGGCGAAAGCCUGACGGAGCAAUGCCGCGUGAGGGAAGAAUGCCUUCGGGUUGUAAACCUCUGUCACCCGGGACGAAAUUUGACGGUACCGGGAGAGGAAGUCACGGCUAACUACGUGCCAGCAGCCGCGGUAACACGUAGGUGGCAAGCGUUAUUCGGAUUUACUGGGCGUAAAGGGUCCGCAGGGGGCCUGACAAGUCUGUCGUGAAAGGCCAAGGCUCAACCUUGGCACUGCGGUGGAAACAGUCGGGCUAGAGUCAGUGAGGGGCAGACGGAACACCUGGUGUAGCGGUGGAAUGCGUAGAUAUCAGGUGGAACACCUAUGGCGAAGGCGGUCUGCUGGCACAUGACUGACCCUCAGGGACGAAAGCGUGGGUAGCAAACAGGAUUAGAUACCCUGGUAGUCCACGCCGUAAACGUUGUCAACUUGAUGUGGGAGGAUUUAACCCCCUCCGUGUCAAAGCUAACGCGAUAAGUUGACCGCCUGGGGACUACGGCCGCAAGGCUAAAACUCAAAUGAAUUGACGG
rnacentral:rRNA from 1 species